GUCGAGGUGCCGGGUACAGACCCAAGGCCACGACUCCAUAACCCACCAGAUGCUCCCAGAAGUGUGUUUUACCGAUCUCCCCAGGUUGACUCCAAUACAGAACAGGAGAUGUCCACAGAUGGGCCCGGGAGAGGGGUCAGAACCUGAGAGAAAUGGGCUGAGCAGAGGACCUGUCACAGGCCACAGAGGAAGAGGAGGCCACUGUUGGACCUUGUUCCCAGAUUCGAUUAGUGACGAUCCCUUGAAGCACGACACAGUCAUGAGUACUCACUGGAGAACUUUAUUUUCUGGCCGGGACCCAUGUGCACUCCAACCAAGCCGGAGGACAAAAGGCCCCAACUGAAAUGAGGACUGCAUAUUUAAAGGGAAAAACUACAGAAAAAGUCCCUCCUCCCAUUCCCCCGGGUAACGCUGUGUUGCAGAUCACCUGAAGCAC
rnacentral:lncRNA from 1 species